CGAUACACAUUAAAAUAUGCUGACAAGGGAAAUGAGGGACUUUGCUGUCUCUUAAGAAGACGACUGUCAGAGGUGUCGGAACAGUUGCAAGUUGUCCUCCAACAGUACAAGACUGCUUUAGGUCCUGAGGCCUCUGUCCUUCUACAUGUUGAAGCAGAAGAUCCAAGUGGCCUCAGUAGUCCAGACACCAGUGAGGAUGAAGAGGAAAACACAGUUUAGAUGGAAGGACUGUGUUGAAGGAAAUGGACUCGCCCUAUAUCUGUAUAUUAUUAU